rnacentral:rRNA from 1 species
UACGGAGGGUGCAAGCGUUAUCCGGAUUCACUGGGUUUAAAGGGUGCGUAGGCGGGCAGGUAAGUCAGUGGUGAAAUCCUUGAGCUUAACUCGAGAACUGCCAUUGAUACUAUCUGUCUUGAAUAUUGUGGAGGUAAGCGGAAUAUGUCAUGUAGCGGUGAAAUGCUUAGAUAUGACAUAGAACACCUAUUGCGAAGGCAGCUUACUACGCAAUAUAUUGACGCUGAGGCACGAAAGCGUGGGGAUCAAACAGG